rnacentral:sRNA from 1 species
CAGUUAGAGGAAUGAUGUACUAUAGAGAAGCCUUAAGAGUUCAGGCAUUUCUUGAUAUGGCUG